CCAGUGCGAUAAGGGACCCCGAGUGAAAGGGCAUAUCGCCCUUUCUUUUCUGAACCGUAGGGAGGUCAGGAACAAGAACUGGGCAAGACCGGUGCCAGCCGCCGCGGUAAUACCGGCAGUUCGAGUGAUGACCGAUUUUAUUGGGCCUAAAGCGUCCGUAGCUGGCCCGUGCAAGUUCGUCGGGAAAUCCACCCGCUCAACGGGUGGGCGUCCGGCGAAAACUGUACGGCUUGGGACAGGAAGGCUCGAGGGGUACGUUCGGGGUAGGAGUGAAAUCCCGUAAUCCUGAACGGACCACCGAUGGCGAAAGCACCUCGAGAGGACUGAUCCGACAGUGAGGGACGAAAGCUGGGGUCUCGAACCGGAUUAGAUACCCGGGUAGUCCCAGCCGUAAACGAUGUUCACUAGGUGUGACACUCACUACGAGUGAGUGUUGUGCCGCAGGGAAGCCGCUAAGUGAACCGCCUGGGAAGUACGUCCGCAAGGAUGAAACUUAAAGGAAUUGGCGGGGGAGCACUACAACCGGAGGAGCCUGCGGUUUAAUUGGACUCAACGCCGGUAACCUUACCAGCCCCGACUACGGUGAUGACGGUCAGGUUGAUGACCUCACCACGAUGCCGUAGAGAGGUGGUGCAUGGCCGCCGUCAGCUCGUACCGUGAGGCGUCCUGUUAAGUCAGGCAACGAGCGAGACCCGCACUCCUAAUUGCCAGCAUGUCCCUUGAGGAUGAUGGGUACAUUAGGAGGACUGCCGCCGCCAAGGCGGAGGAAGGAACGGGCAACGGUAGGUCAGUAUGCCCCGAAUGGGCUGGGCAACACGCGGGCUACAAUGGCCGAGACAAUGGGUUCCAACCCCGAGAGGGAGCGGUAAUCUCAGAAACUCGGUCGUAGUUCGGAUUGCGGACUGCAACUCGUCCGCAUGAAGCUGGAUUCGGUAGUAAUCGCAUUCCAGGAGAGUGCGGUGAAUACGUCCCUGCUCCUUGCACACACCGCCCGUCAAAGCACCCGAGUGGGGUCCGGAUGAGGCCUGUCUAACAGGUCGAAUCUGUCC
rnacentral:rRNA from 1 species